UCCAAUCAAUUUUGUUGGACCUGGCGGUAUUACAUAUAUACAAUUGGCUGCUUGCACUUAAGGUUCUAAUGAUUUUAAUUAUUGUUUUGACAAACGAUCCACAGGAGUUCAUUAUUCUUUCAUCUUCUUGUUGUUCCUUUCUCUUCUUUUUGGGUGUGUUGGUUUCUAUGUGGGGGAUUGGUUAGAAGAGUAAUUAAAGCAUCAGUUGAACAAAAAGAUCAUUUAGUUGGCGAAAAAGAGCUAGAAAACGAGAAAGCCAGCCAAAUGGAUAAUAAUAGCACUCAAUGUACUGCUAUGGCAAAUGAGGAAUUGAUAUGCAUGCAAGGUGUUUGAUGAAAUGCGAAAAAAAAAAAUUUGUUUCAUGAAGUGGGAUUAAGUGAUUGAGCUUAUUGCUGGGUAAAUAUGUUUCAAGUAAUGCUUCUGAUUUCUAUUUGUACUACUGAUUCGUUACACAUUUAAAUAUUUUUGGCUAUUUUUUUAAAGAUUUUGUAACCUUUUCCCACGUUUUACGUGUGUCCACUUGUUUCCAUAUGUAUCCAUGGCAUCUAGUUGUAUUGAAAGUUUCAUAAAAUACUAGAUUUUGAAUAAAUUAAAUAAAAUGCAUUUCUUGAGUUUAUGUGGACAAAUCAUG
rnacentral:misc_RNA from 1 species